UACGAGGGGUCCUAGCGUUGUUCGGAAUCAUUGGGCGUAAAGGGUGCGUAGGUUGCUAUUCAAGUCAGUUGUGAAAUCCCCGGGCUCAACCCGGGAAGUGCUUCUGAUACUGUUUAGCUUGAGUACUGGAGAGGAUAGUAGAAUUCCAGGUGUAGUGGUGAAAUACGUAGAUAUCAGGAGGAACACCGGUGGCGAAGGCGGGUCUCUGGGCCGAUACUGACGCUGAGGAGCGAAAGCGUGGGGAGCGAACAGG
rnacentral:rRNA from 1 species